AAAAAAAAGCCACAUUCUUCCCUCUCCCCAUCUCUCUUUAACAGCUACCUGUCCCUCUCCCCAUCUUUUCUCCGAUAGUUUUUCUCGCCAAAGAGAGGAAGUGGGCCUUUCAAUUAUUCAAUUAUUAUUUCUUGGACAUUACAUAUAUAAACUCCAUGAAAGAGCAAAGCCAAGUCUUUCACAAAAUUCAGGCUCUGCUGGAGUGGGAUUUAAGCUUACGAUAGUACACUCAAUCUUAGUUCAAAAACCAAUCAAGGUAAAGCUUGAGCUCAACUCAG
rnacentral:misc_RNA from 1 species